ensembl:lncRNA
CCGAGGUUAACUUAAGUAGCACCUCCUAGGAUGUUUGCUUUGGAAGGGGUUGCACUUGAGGGUUGAGCUUAAAUUGCUUCUUCAUCUCUGAUGAUCACUCCAUUGCUUGUUUAAAAGGCAUCAGUACUCAGUCAAGCUAGCUGGAAUGGGUUGAAUUGUGGCCGCCCCAAAAGAUACGCCCACAACCUAACCCUUGGACUCCGUUUGAAGUUUGGGAGUAGGAAGGAAACCUUUCUUCCAUGUUGAGCUGUUGUAAUUUCUAGUUUUACUCUGAUAAGCCCUGUAUAAUAAGCCCCUGAAGACUCUGAGACUUACCGUCUACUCAUUCCUAAUCAUGAUCUGAAAAACAGACUGUCUUUAGAAAAAACAAGAGUUGGUUUAUAAUUUGUGCUUCUACACAUUGUCCUCCCACCUGGGAGCAAGGGGGCUUGGCCAGCAGACAGGACUGGUGUGUGUACUUAUGACAGGCAUAGGAGAAGAGGCAGGUGGCAAUCCAUAGCUCCUGUAUCAGUUUGAAUCCUUCGUCACGUGUCCCUUCCUGUUGGUAAACACAGAUAACAGCCUAAUCCUGGGGCUGCUGCGAAUGACACUGCCACAGCUCCGGGCACCUGCCAGCCAAGGACAGAUGGCGACCACUGCCACCCACAGGCUGUCCCAGGGAGAAUUUAUGGUCUGGCCAAAAAGAGAGCUUCCUAAUGAGGCAUCCUGGAAACUGAUGGGAACUGUGUUCUUAUCCAUCUUCCCCACCUCUUGUGCCCCAUCAACUCAGAGUGGCCCAGAAGCCCAAAGCUGAGAGGACGAAGCUCAAUGGGGUAAGUUAACAUCACUCCAGAUCCGCCCCAGUGAAGACAGGGAGAAUUGCCUACACGUGAAAAAAUGUGACAAACUUAUUUGUAAAGCUUAUCUGACAGUUUUGUCUAUAUUUGAUACAUUCAUUCCUCCACAAUCUCUGCUUUACCAAAAUCCAUGUGGGUGCAUCAUAAAGAGAGAUGUUUGAUGACCAAGUUGUUCUGGGCAAGUCAAGGUAAACAGAUGAUAAUUACUUCACAGGGAUUAUUUUUGCAAUGUAAUGGCUGGUCACUCCCUCGACUGUGUAUAUCUCUUAACAUGUAAUUCAGAAACAUGGCCUGUGCCUUAGGGAGAGCAUGAAGAUACACAUGAGAUGGGCAUUCAUUACCUGUUUAGUCAUGCCAGAGACUCUAAAAAAUGACGUUCUUGAAGAUCUUUAUUCUUGGUGCUUUAUUUUUCAUUUGAAACUCAAACAGCAGAAUACUUCUUUUGAGGUUUGAGUUUAGGCAAUUCCUUUUCAAAAGAAUACAUACACAUGGCCAACAAGCAUAUGAAAAAAAAGCUACACAUCACCAAUUAUUAGAGAAAUGCACAUCAAAACCACAAUGAGAUACCAUCGCACAUCAGUCAGAAUGGCUAUUACUAAAAAGUCAAAAAAUAACAGAUGCUGGUGAGGUUAUGGAGAGAAAGGAAUGCUUCUACACUUUUGGUGGGAGUGUAAAUUGGGCCAGCCACUGCGGAAAGCAGCGUGGUGAUUCCUUGAAGAGCUAAAAACAGAAUAGCCAUUCAACUCAGCAAUCUCAAUACAGGCAUAUACCCAAAGAAAUAGAAAUCAUUCUGUCAUAAAGACAUGCACACAUAUGUUCAUUGCAGCACUAUUCACCAUAGCAGAGAUACGGAAUCAACCUAAAUGCCCAUCAGUAAUUGACUGGAUAAAACAUGUGAUACACAUACACCAUGGAAUACUAUGCAGCCAUAAAAAAGAAUGAGGUCACAUUAUUUGUAGGAACGUAGAUGAAGCUGGAGGCCAUUAUCCUUAGCAAACUAAUACAGGAACAGAAAACCAAAUUGUUCUCACUUAUAACUGGGAGCUAAAUGAUGAGAACGCUUAGACACAUAGAGGGGAACAACAUACACUGGGGCCUACUUGAGGGUGGAGGGUGGGAGGAAGGAGAGGAUCAGAAAAAAUAACUAAUGGGUACUAGGCUUAAUACCUGGGUGAUGAAACAAUCUGUACAAUAAACAUUUGUAACGCAAGUUUACCUAUAUAACAAACCUGCACAUGUACCCCUGAACUUACAUUAAAAAAAAAAAAGAGUUUAGUGCAGUUCAUUGUUCUUGAAGAGGCAUACAUGAAGUCGUUUCUCAUGACCAGUACUGCUUCAAGGGUGUUAUCAAAAGUACCGAACAACAAAACGCUCCUUAAAAACUUGGGCUUGCCAUGCAAUUAAAAAUGAAAGAGUGGUUUUUAGAUUAGGAUUAAUUUUAUGACCAAAUAGAGGGUCGAGCUACUUUGAACAUGCUGCAGUUGACAGUUUAUUACACAAGAACAAAGGCGCCGGUGCGUAAAACUUAGGUAACAGCUACAAUAACUUAAAACAAAUCUCAGGGGCCACCACAUUUCUACAGUUGAGACUUUUUUCCCAAGAAGGGAGGCUGCACCUGCCCCCUGCCAAGACAGUCUUGCGUGGCCCUAAGAAAACCACCUAACUCAGUUGGAACGGUACCAGUUUUGUGAUUAAAGUAGGGCUUGGGUCCAGCCAAACAUUCGUUUGGAAGAAUGAGUAACUAGGCUGUUUCAGGAGCAGCAGUGUUGGUAAGAUCAAAACCAGGGCGGGGAAGAAGCCCCGGGCCACUCGUAUUUCUAAAAGUGUCUUCCCAGAGUCCUCAAGGUAUAUUCCUGCUGGGAACAAGUAUCAGAAUUUUAUUCCUUUUUAAGGCUGAAUACUAUUCCAUGUUUUUGUUAUUCAUUCAUCAGUCAUUGGACAUUUGGGUAAAAACAGAACUUUUUAUCUUACUAGCUCGUAUAUGAACAAGCUCAAGUCUUGUUCAUAUAUGAGCUAGUAAUAUUUUAAAAAGUCAGUUUCUUCUUUAGAAUAAGAGCAUUUUAAGCAACUUCACUGACGAAAAUUGCCCAACCUCUUUAAUCGUGUGGGGAAGAAUAGAUGAUAAAAUACAAAAGUCAGUGGGCAACAGCAUGUAUUUAAAUCACAGCAAACAUGUAAAUAGGAGUAUCAUUCCUCCCCUACUCCUCCACCUCAGGUUUUUUUUGUUGCUGUUCUGGAAAAAUAUUCGGGGUACAAAGAUUGCAUUUCAAAAAUAGAAUUUAUGAGCCUAAUCAUCUUAACAGGGAACAUAAAUGCCAAAACAGCCUCUGUGAGUCAUUUCUUGGAUUCUGAAAGGAAUUCAUUUCAAACAGGAGUUUUCUCAUCUUUGAGGUUUGUUUUAAGAAGUUCCAAAAGCAAAUAGCAAAAUAACAAAACACCUGGAGCUGCAGAUCUCGAAGCACCCUUCAAAAUAGCAGCCCUGGUGUCAGACAUCUGGGGCUGGCUCUGGGCUGGAGGGGUCUGCAUUC